rnacentral:rRNA from 1 species
UUUUAUCUAUCUUAGUGGCGGACGGGUGAGUAACGUGUGGGCAACCUGCCCUGUACUGGGGAAUAAUCAUUGGAAACGAUGACUAAUACCGCAUGUGGUCCUCGGAAGGCAUCUUCUGAGGAAGAAAGGAUUUAUUCGGUACAGGAUGGGCCCGCAUCUGAUUAGCUAGUUGGUGAGAUAACAGCCCACCAAGGCGACGAUCAGUAGCCGACCUGAGAGGGUGAUCGGCCACAUUGGGACUGAGACACGGCCCAAACUCCUACGGGAGGCAGCAGUGGGGAAUAUUGCACAAUGGGCGAAAGCCUGAUGCAGCAACGCCGCGUGAAGGAUGAAGGGUUUCGGCUCGUAAACUUCUAUCAAUAGGGAAGAAACAAAUGACGGUACCUAAAUAAGAAGCCCCGGCUAACUACGUGCCAGCAGCCGCGGUAAUACGUAGGGGGCAAGCGUUAUCCGGAAUUACUGGGUGUAAAGGGAGCGUAGGCGGCAUGGUAAGCCAGAUGUGAAAGCCUUGGGCUUAACCCGAGGAUUGCAUUUGGAACUAUCAAGCUAGAGUACAGGAGAGGAAAGCGGAAUUCCUAGUGUAGCGGUGAAAUGCGUAGAUAUUAGGAAGAACACCAGUGGCGA